UCCAGAGGGUGCAAGCGUUAAUCGGAAUUACUGGGCGUAAAGGGAGCGUAGGUGGCUCGAUAAGUCAGAUGUGCAAUCCCCGGGCUCAACCUGGGAACUGCAUCUGAUACUGUUGAGCUAGAGUAGGUGAGAGGGAGGUAGAAUUUCAGGUGUAGCGGUGAAAUGCGUAGAGAUCUGAAGGAAUACCGAUGGCGAAGGCAGCCUCCUGGCAUCAUACUGACACUGAGGCUCGAAAGCGUGGGUAGCAAACAGG
rnacentral:rRNA from 1 species